GGAGGGGUGGCUAGCUGCGCAUGCGCAGGUGGAACUGGUGUGAUUAGCCCUGCCGCAGUGACUGGAACACAGAGUGGAGUGGUCGCCGGAGAUGCCUGAAGGUCUGUUCUGAGGAGCGUCUAGCAGCGCGAUGGAGCGGGCCAGGGACCGCUUACACCUGAGACGGACCACGGAGCAGCACGUACCAGAGGUGGAAGUACAAGUUAAACGUAGAAGGACAGCCUCACUGAGCAACCAAGAGUGUCAGCUCUACCCAAGGCGAUCUCAGCAGCAGCAAGUACCUGUGUUGGAUUUCCAGGCGGAAUUGAGACAGGCAUUCUUAGCAGAGACACCAAGAGGUGGUUAAAGCAGUAUUGGAACAUCCAGGUUAGCUGAUUUCCAAGUGAAAAACCAGGAACGUUUUGGCUUUUCAGUGCAUUUCAUAUACUCUUAUGAUUUAUUUUCUGUUACUAUGGAUUGCUGAAGAUUUUAAAUCUUAGUAGAUAUAAAAAAUGAAAGUAGCUAAUGACUAGAGGUAAAAAAUAUGUAAGUAUUCUUAAAUUUAGACUGCUUUAUAGAUAAUCCUGUCAGAAUUCAGAACAUCUAUAUUAUAGACCUUAAACUACUGUGAGUUUGGGUUACAAACUACAUUGAUUUGGGGAGAGGAGGGCAUGCCAGUCUGCUGAUUUGAACAGAUCUUUUGAGAUCAUUACAUGUCAGUUUUAUGCAAAACAUUAAGUCAUAUACAAUGUUGGAUGCUGUAAAAGGGGGUAUCCUUGAUGUCAUUGUAUCUUUGAAGACCUACAUUGGGUAGAUGGGGAAAAGAGACAAGUUUAUAGAUAUUAUAGUCAGUUAUGGUAAAUGUUAGAGAAGUAUGGACAGUGUUAAGGACAGUAUAGGCAGAAAGUCUUUAAGAAAAAAAUGCACAAAAAGUGCAUGAUAGUUUGCAUUUGGAGAACAAAGGUUAGGAGAUAAUUCUAAUACCAGGAAUUUAUUUUUUAGAAAAUCUGAUAUCCAAAAUUCUCAUAAUAUACUUAACUGCCAUCAAAUUUUUGUAAAUAUAGGGAAACCUCUUUUCUACAUCUUACCUAUUCUUACUGAACUCUUUCUUUCAUACCAUUCUGUUCUCUUUUGAUCGAGUGUCAUAUAGUUCCACAUGGAAAACUGUCUUCAAAACAUUUCUUUUACCUUAUUGUUUUGAUGUUAUGGUUCACAACCACUAUUUUGAUGAUUUUAUUUUCACAUCCUAAAAUACAGGAUUCAUAAUUUACUGAAUCAGUAUACUUAGCUGUUUGCAAAAUGUCUCCAUUGAAGACAAAGGACAAGUUUACUGAAAAUGUUUGUAUUAUUAAAAAUAAAAUUAUGUCAGAUUUUGUUUAUACUAGGCUGCUUUUUUGCAUAAAACCAAAUUCCCAUUCAAGAGUAAUAUAAUUUGGGUGUUUGCUUUCUAAAUAAGUAUAAUCAGUAGUUUGAGAUUUUUUUUCUAGUUUUGAUUUGGUUGCCAUACUCAGUAAGAGGAGUUUCCAUAGUAUGUUGGGAAAAAUGAUAACACUGUUAUAAAUCAUGUUCUUUUGAUUGCUAAGAAAAUUACCUAUAUAUCCGUAUAAGCAAGUAAUCAGUUGUUUUAUGCUCCACUUUAACAUAGGACGUCAUAAGCAGGUACAUGAUAAUGCAGUUGGUUCUUGGUAAAAAAAUUAUUUAGAAUUACUUUGAAGAGGUUUUGGCAGGGUCAAGGAGGGGGAUUUUGAGGUUGAAAACCUUUAGGUGGCUUAGCUAAGAACAAAAUUUUAACUAAUUCAGGAGAAUAAUUCAGAUGGCUGUGAAGCUUAGGGAUAUAUCAAAAUGUUGAAGUUGAGAUGAUGGGUUAACUUAGGAUCAGAGAAUGAAGCACCACCUAAAGUAAGGAUGAAAAAAGAAAACACUACAUUUUUUGGAAUGGAAAAUGAAAGUGAUUUUUUAGACAUUUAAAAAUGUAUGCAUAAUAUAAAAAUUUAAUAAACACUGUCAAUUUUAAGUGUGUAAAAUGUGGAAGUUAAGGUGAAGGAAUAGUGAAAUUUGGUGUUCAUGUGGUGGGUAUGGAACAUGGGAGGUGUUUUUAAAUAUGUAUGUUAUGGUGAUUUUCAUGCAAAAUUGUCUGCCUGUUUUUAAACAUGGUAGAUUGCAGUGCAGCUAGAUCAUGCUUUCCUCUGCAGGCUCCAUCUACUGUUUGAAGCUUCUGCCCCAAGCUUGCAUUGUUUGUAGGAGAACCUGCGUCAUACCUUUAUCUGUAGCCUUCCCUUAG